AAAGAAAAGAAAAAAGAAAGUCCUGUUGAAAUGGAUUUGACAUUUGUUGGCUUUGGUUAGAGAAGUUCAUCUUCCUCUCCCUGUAGCUCUUCAAUCUCUAAUUCUUCCUACACUAAAGAAGUCUCUUCGAUUCUCUCAAUCAGUACCCCUCUUCAAAGUGGAAUCUCUCCAUGAUUUUCUCUUAAAGAGGAAGCUACCAAUUUCAAAUCUGUUGGAGUUAAACUCAAAGAACCACAGAAUGCAGGAGCUGUGAAUUGAGCCACUGCUUUUUCAUCAUGCAUUUCAGGUUAGCGGUCUGAAAUAACACAGGAGUAUAUCAUUGAUGCAAUAGCACUUGACUGGUAGGACUUGCAUGACCGGCUUUGGAAGCCAAGUAUAUCAUUUAUUUUAUGUCUUUAUUUCAUGAAUUCAUGCCUUUUAUUUUCAAAGUAGGCUACGUAGGAUAUUCUGUUGUGUUUCCAAAUUUGAUUUUAUUCUUUAUUUGAAUAGGUUUCCAUAUUUGAGAUGUUUUUCUUUUGUAAAUAUGUAAUCGAUGGACAAGUGUUGAGCAGAUUGAAGAAGUUGAAUAAGAAGUACAGUUGGUUUUUGAAUUCUGCACGAGUUGCUUGGUUGUGUGCUUCUCUUCCUUCCCCCUCCUACUCUAGUCUCUUCCUAGUCUUUCUCCUUGAUAGGAAAUAAUUUUAUUUUUUCAGUUUCUUGGUGAAGGUUCUCAUUGAUGUUAUGAAGAUGGGUAGAGAUGGACUUCACAUGAAGUAAACAAGAGUGAAAAACAAAAAUUACUGUGUUCCACGAUCCCUUAUGCAAUAUUGUUUUGUAUGCUUUUUUACUAGAUCAUAUCAUCUCUCAGUCUGUUACUCAUACGUCUCUCCUUACAUAUUUACAUGCCCCUCUCUCAAAAGACACAUCUCUCAUUCUCUUCUAUGGAUCUUAUCCCUUUCUCCUUUGAACCAUCGCACCCCCUACACCAUGCAACCCCUGUUCUCUCUCUCUCUCUAUCACAGAUAGAGACCCCAAUCGUGGGAUCCUUAUCCUGUUUCCUAUCAGACCAUUGCCCCUAAAAGAGAGACCCCCUGUCAAAUGGACACCUCUGUCCCAUGUCUCCAACUCAUAUAUUUCUCUCAUCCCUGACUCACUCACAGGUCACAACCCUCCCAUUCUCUUUCUCUCUCUCUCUCGACAGAGGAAAGUAAUUUGGUGAUGGUGUUUUGGUUAGCAAUAUUUCUGUUAUGAUGGUUGUUUAAGUGCAGCAGUAUCCAGAGAAUCUGAGUUUUACCUUGUGUGGUUUGCAGGAAUGGAUGGAUUCCUGUGGUGGGUUUUAUGAAUUAUAUCUCAAUCCCCAACAGCAUGAACAGAGCAACAGUUAAUAUCAAUCUCAUGAGAAAAGUGUGACUUCUUCUUCGAGUGGGAGAGUGGCGCGUAGGAACCCUAGGAAAGCAGUUUAUGGGGGCACACUGGAAUGUAUUUCAUGGUUCUUUUUCUUGUUUUUCGGUAAACAUUUCUGGGAUCUUUAAUAGUGGGAAUUAUCAGCCUGGUGAGAACUCUGGCAAAAAAUCUGAAGGCAUGGUUUAAAUCUAAAUUUCUAUCCAGAGAGUUCCAUCCAAAUGUAAUGAUGGCCAUUGGAGAAGAGAUUAUUUCUUCCCCGUAGGUGAAGGGAAACUUCAUCCACUAAAAUGAAUUAAAGGUAUAGGCUCCAUUGGUUUCGGUGUAAAAUAGGUGCAAUUGAAAAUUUUACUGUAGAAUAAAAAAUUCCAGCAUAUGUUUUGAAAUUUGUAAAAUUUGUGUGACGGAAAAUUUUACCAGAACCGAUGCAUUUACCAGAAUAUAGGGUCAUAAUUUUUAAGCCUGUUUUGAGAGUAAAAUAUUACUUCGUAAAAUUUCCCACUUACUCGAAUCUCGAUACAUCUUGCUCAUUCUGUUGAAUCUGUCCGCUGUUGAGAACCAGAGAAAUGUUCCUCCGCUUCCGUAUCUGCGUGAUUGAGAACCAGAGGUUUCAUGUCCUCCACUCAUAGAUCUACCUUCCAGUGAUUCUCUGCAACAACUAUGGAGAGGUGUCAAUGAUAUUGCUGAAGGUUGAUGUUCGGUGCCUACGCUGCUACAAGAAGAUUAACAAAACUCUUUGUAAAUACCGGGUUAGCCAUUUCAUCUCAUCUAUUCCCUUAUAUUUCCCCCCACCUUCUAAGAUUCUGCCUCUUCAUUUCUAUUGGUAUCCUUUUCCUUUUCCGGUGGAACUGCUGUCUACUAGUUUUUUGACAGUCAUGUGUUCAUUAUCUUCUUGCAGUCUUCUGACAUCUUAUUUCUGUUCAAUGGAAUCAUUAGGAAGUUGGCUGGACUCACUCUUGAUGCUGUCUGUUGUCAAACUCUCUCCAUCUUCAGAAUCCUGUGGCUUCAGAUGAGAAAUUUCCUGUUCUUUCCAUAUCCGAUUAGCUGAAUCAGUACUUUCUAAUUCAUUGUAGGUCAGGUCUUAGGCAGGGUAUCCCAUCUCCGCAGCAUUAUUCAUUUUUAUGUCUACGAGUUCUUUCUUCCAUUAUUCACCAAGCCACUCAUCAGAAACAUCUCUUUCCUCUGCAUAUUACCAGGUCUGGCCUAAAAACUGAUCAGCUACUUUUUGCCAAUGAAAACCUCUACUUCCUUAAUGCUUAUAUUCCAAGUUGCCCUAAAUUCAGGGAGAUUCUGAAUCAGUUUGGUUCUAUUUCUUAGCAAUAGAUAAAUCUGAAUAAAUAUUGUUCUCCGUCCCAACAUUCUCAAAUGCUCGUAAUAGACAUUUGGCUGCAAUAUUUGGGGAGUCCGCUUCUGAUGGGCGUACUAACACCCAAAAAUUUAGUCCUUCAAUGAAAGUUCAGCUGAAAUUGCAGCAAUGGUCCAAUUCCUCUCUUUAGCCCAUUUCCUGUUUGUUUUGACUUGAUGUUUGAGAACCAUCUGUUCUAAUUUCCUGGUACAGCUGGAUGAAGGAGUUUCAAACUCUUUUUUUCUUUUACUCCAUGUGUUUGUUCCAGAGUCGUCUUUGUCAUUGAGUUGGUUCAGAUGUCCAGAGGCAUUGUCUGUUUAGGUGGAAUUGUAUCCUUGUUAUGUGAGCAAAUUGGUUUUGAUGGCAUGGACCUCCUAGAAAUGGUGUUUGUCAGGAAUGUUACAGAUUUGCCUUACACUUCUAGUUCAUUAUUUGAUGUGGCAAUGGAGAAGUUGAAAAUCAUGUCUGUUACAUGUUUAUUCUGGGACUUUCAGCUCUUGUUUUGACAUAACAGUAGAGAAAAGUUGGAAUUCAUUGGUGUUUGUCUUACAUUUUGGACUUGGUUCAUGAGGAUUGGUUAAUCAGGUCAGCUAUCACAUGCAUCAUCCUCUUCUUCUUUCUAUAUUUUCCCAUGUGCAUGCAUGUCUUGAGUUUCACCACUUCUAUUUUUUGUCAAGUAUCCAUUUGCAUUAUUGAAUGGGUUGUAAGCAGUAGUGAAGGACUCAACGUUGGCUUAGAUGGUCUAGUGAAAGCCCAGAAGAAAGAGAUUUUCAAAAAAAAGAUUUUAUAUGGAAGGUUCACCGAUUGGUGAUGUCUUUCCUGACACUAUUUGUUCUAUCCAUGGAUUAAUUUUUUGUAUUAUUUUGAUUGAUGAUACAAAUAAAGUUCUUGUCAUGCCUUCUCCUUGUUCAAAUUUUCAUUGGUGUUCUAAUUUUAACUGAGAGGUUAGAGGCUUCUUAUUUGAAAAACUAUGUUUAUUUUAUGGGAAAAGGCUGGGCACAGCCUGUCUCCUUCUCUCCCCCUUCUAGUGAAAAGAUCUCCUACCGUCCUUUGUCCCCCCCCCCCCCCCCCUUUCCCAUGUGCUGCUGCCCACCAGCUUACCUGGAGCGGGCAGCAUGCAUAUCCCUUCCCCUUGUUUUAUGGACUAAAUUGUUUAACCUUCUUUAUGAUGCCAGAAGGCUUCCAAUUUGCUCGUCAAUAUGAUGCCAAAAUGAGUAAAUUGCAAGUUACUACAAAUUUUGUGCAUAUCAUCUACCUUGUUUUUAGUUUGAGAUAUUUGUUGACACAUUACUCGUGGCAUUUGAAUGCCUCAUCUUUCUUACAAUAUGUAGCACCCCCAAAACAUAAUAAAUUAAUAAAUCUAACAGUAUUUGAUAUGGUAAUUGGUGGAGCGUUAUUAUGGAUAGAAAUUAGUUUAGUGAAUAUCAUGGAAUAAAAAUUUCAGGUUAACAUUUUGAUUUGGCAGGUUCAAAGAAUGGUUUUGCAGAGAUUUUUUUUUUGUUUUUUUGUUUUUUAGGUUUCUUGAUCAGUUUUGUUUUGAGUGGUUGUUAUGGUCAAGUGAUGGAAGUUGUAGUUGGUGGUAAUAGACUUAAGAGGGAAUGCUUGUAGGAGUAUAAGACAGGAAAAUAGGUUUCAAUGUCUGAAAGUUACUACUAGAAAUGAAGAGGAUGAGAUAACUAUUACCUGUGGGUUACUUGUGAAAAGCCCCUUGUGCGACCAAGUUGUUGCCUGCCAAUGGAAAGUUCUCUCGAUCCUGACGACCCUAUUAUUGUUGAUCCUCAUUAUGCUUCAGUUUCUAAGAUACAUCAUCUGCACUUUUUGAUCUUCCAUUUCUUUUAUUACAGUCAUUCUCAACAUUGAAAGUAUUUCCAAUGCUUGCUUGCCAAUUAUUGCAAGCUGUGCCUGCUGUUUACAUAUGUUAAAGAUUCAUGAUUUGAAACUAUAGUCCCUAGGCAUAGUUUCAUGUGAUAGAUAUUUAUCUCCCUUGCCUGUGUGCCAUGAUCUGACAAUCACAAGUCGGAAGUU